rnacentral:lncRNA from 10 species
CAGUGAGGCAGGAAUCAUAUGUGUAUGGGCCAGAUGAGAUAGUAAGGAUAAGUGGGGAGGAGCCAAGAUGGCCGAAUAGGAACAGCUCCGGUCUACAGCUCCCAGCGUGAGCGACGCAGAAGACGGGUGAUUUCUGCAUUUCCAUCUGAGGUACCGGGUUCAUCUCACUAGGGAGUGCCAGACAGUGGGCGCACGCAGGAUACUCAAACUUGAAACCAACCUACCUUAUCGUGAGGAAGCCUGGUUCAAAUGGAGAGGCCAAUGUAGGUGUACAACAGACAGUCCCAGCUGAAAGGCCCAGCUUGCACACAACAUCACUGCCAGACGAAUGAGAAGGGCCUUAUGAUGAUUCCAGCAUCAGACAUUUGACUUGGCCCAGCUUUUGCUGAACUGCAUCUUGUCAUCAUGAGAGGUGAAGCCAGCUGGGCUUCUAGGUCUGGUGGAGACUUGGA